rnacentral:rRNA from 1 species
UACGUAGGCAGCGAGCGUUGUUCGGAGUUACUGGGCGUAAAGGGUGUGUAGGCGGUUGUUUAAGGUUGGUGUGAAAUCUCCCGGCUCAACUGGGAGGGUGCGCCGAAUACUGAAUGACUUCGAGUACGGGAGAGGUGAGUGGAAUUCCUGGUGUAGCGGUGAAAUGCGUAGAUAUCAGGAGGAACACCGGUGGUGUAGACGGCUCACUGGACCGUAACUGACGCUGAGACACGAAAGCGUGGGUAGCAAACAGG